CAAACCUGUUGUACUGCUAUGAUUUAAUGGAAGUUGCCUCAUUUAUGCUGAAUUGCGUGUUUUAACAUUUUUGAAAUUGAAUUGUAUGUAACCGUUCUGGUUUGUGUUCACAUAGGUACUCUCUUGCCCAUUUAAAGUGAAACUGUCACCACUUACCUGGCCCUCCUCGGUUGUUCACUGAUUUGCUGUGCUUGGGAACACACUCUGCAAGUAUGGCAAACCUCCUCCAUGAUGCUGACUGCGUCUGCAUGGAGUGAGGUCAGGUCCCUCU